rnacentral:sRNA from 1 species
UCACUCAGUGGUGGCAGGCUAUCAGCUUA